UACAGAGGGGGCAAGCGUUGUUCGGAAUUACUGGGCGUAAAGGGCGCGUAGGCGGCCUGUUAAGUCGAACGUGAAAUCCCCGGGCUCAACCCGGGAACUGCGUCCGAUACUGGCAGGCUUGAAUCCGGGAGAGGGAUGCGGAAUUCCCGGUGUAGCGGUGAAAUGCGCAGAUAUCGGGAGGAACACCUAUGGCGAAGGCAGCUCGCUGGGACGUUACUGACGCUGAGACGCGAAAGCGUGGGGAGCAAACAGG
rnacentral:rRNA from 1 species